AAGAUUCUCAAGUGCCUUUCACUCGAGACCAGACAGACAACGUCAAUGAAACGGCAGUAUGCAUAAUGAAUAAUUUCUUUAUAUAUUUUUUUCUGAAUUAACAAGAUAAUGAUCUGAAUUCUGAGAAAAGUUUUGAAUGAAAAGAGAAAUUGGUCUGUUUUUCAGAAGUAACAAGGCACCUGACUUUUGUAAGAAGAGCCACCAAGUGCAAAUGUUGGUUAAGCCAGCCGCCACCAUCUGAACCCCAUUGCACCUAAAGUCCUAAGGAUUGACAGUCUAAAGGACUGUCAAGGAGAGAGUGAUCAAGUCUGAGCUGGACAUCUAUGGCAAACACAAUGAAGUCAAUUGUGUUUAAAUGACACUGUUCCAGUCUCCGCUCUCUAUUAACAGUCUGACAGACUGUCUUGGAGAGAGUGAUCAAUUCUGAGGUGGACAUCUACGCCAAUUGUGUUUAAAUAACACGCUUCCAGUCUCCACUGUUG